rnacentral:rRNA from 1 species
UACGUAGGGUGCAAGCGUUAAUCGGAAUUACUGGGCGUAAAGCGUGCGCAGGCGGUUUCGUAAGUCUGUCGUGAAAGCCCCGGGCUCAACCUGGGAAUUGCGAUGGAGACUGCGAGGCUAGAGUGUGUCAGAGGGGGGUAGAAUUCCACGUGUAGCAGUGAAAUGCGUAGAUAUGUGGAGGAACACCGAUGGCGAAGGCAGCCCCCUGGGAUAACACUGGCGCUCAUGCACGAAAGCGUGGGGAGCAAACAGG